rnacentral:rRNA from 1 species
AGAGUUUGAUCCUGGCUCAGGAUGAACGCUGGCGGCGUGCUUAACACAUGCAAGUCGAACGAGGGUUGCUGGUUGAAGUUUCGGAUGGAAACCGGUAAUUCCUAGUGGCGGACGGGUGAGUAACGCGUGGGGAACCUGCCCCGCUCCGGGGGAUACCAGCUGGAAACGGCUGUUAAUACCGCAUAAGCGCACAGCAUUGCAUGAUGCCGUGUGAAAAACUCCGGUGGAACGGGAUGGCCCCGCGUCUGAUUAGCCAGUUGGCAGGGUAACGGCCUACCAAAGCGACGAUCAGUAGCCGGCCUGAGAGGGCGACCGGCCACAUUGGGACUGAGACACGGCCCAAACUCCUACGGGAGGCAGCAGUGGGGAAUAUUGCACAAUGGGGGAAACCCUGAUGCAGCCGACGCCGCGUGAGUGAGGAAGUAUUUCGGUAUGUAAAGCUCUAUCAGCAGGGAAGAAGAUGACGGUACCUGCACAAGAAGCCCCGGCUAACUACGUGCCAGCCGCGGC